AGGGAAAGAUGGGGGUAGGCCUAACACAUGCAAGUCGAACGGCAGCACAGUAAGAGCUUGCUCUUACGGGUGGCGAGUGGCGGACGGGUGAGGAAUACAUCGGAAUCUACUUUUUCGUGGGGGAUAACGUAGGGAAACUUACGCUAAUACCGCAUACGACCUACGGGUGAAAGCAGGGGAUCUUCGGACCUUGCGCGAUUGAAUGAGCCGAUGUCGGAUUAGCUAGUUGGCGGGGUAAGGGCCCACCAAGGCGACGAUCCGUAGCUGGUCUGAGAGGAUGAUCAGCCACACUGGAACUGAGACACGGUCCAGACUCCUACGGGAGGCAGCAGUGGGGAAUAUUGGACAAUGGGCGCAAGCCUGAUCCAGCCAUACCGCGUGGGUGAAGAAGGCCUUCGGGUUGUAAAGCCCUUUUGUUGGGAAAGAAAAGCAGCAGGUUAAUACCCCGCUGUUCUGACGGUACCCAAAGAAUAAGCACCGGCUAACUUCGUG
rnacentral:rRNA from 1 species